GACGAACGCUGGCGGCGUGCCUAAUACAUGCAAGUCGAACGAACUCUGGUAUUGAUUGGUGCUUGCAUCAUGAUUUACAUUUGAGUGAGUGGCGAACUGGUGAGUAACACGUGGGAAACCUGCCCAGAAGNGGGGGAUAACACCUGGAAACAGAUGCUAAUACCGCAUAACAACUUNGACCGCAUGGUCCGAGNUUGAAAGAUGGCUUCGGCUAUCACUUUUGGAUGGUCCCGCGGCGUAUUAGCUAGAUGGUGNGGUAACGGCUCACCAUGGCAAUGAUACGUAGCCGACCUGAGAGGGUAAUCGGCCACAUUGGGACUGAGACACGGCCCAAACUCCUACGGGAGGCAGCAGUAGGGAAUCUUCCACAAUGGACGAAAGUCUGAUGGAGCAACGCCGCGUGAGUGAAGAAGGGUUUCGGCUCGUAAAACUCUGUUGUUAAAGAAGAACAUAUCUGAGAGUAACUGUUCAGGUAUUGACGGUAUUUAACCAGAAAGCCACGGCUAACUACGUGCCAGCAGCCGCGGUAAUACGUAGGUGGCAAGCGUUGUCCGGAUUUAUUGGGCGUAAAGCGAGCGCAGGCGGUUUUUUAAGUCUGAUGUGAAAGCCUUCGGCUCAACCGAAGAAGUGCAUCGGAAACUGGGAAACUUGAGUGCAGAAGAGGACAGUGGAACUCCAUGUGUAGCGGUGAAAUGCGUAGAUAUAUGGAAGAACACCAGUGGCGAAGGCGGCUGUCUGGUCUGUAACUGACGCUGAGGCUCGAAAGUAUGGGUAGCAAACAGGAUUAGAUACCCUGGUAGUCCAUACCGUAAACGAUGAAUGCUAAGUGUUGGAGGGUUUCCGCCCUUCAGUGCUGCAGCUAACGCAUUAAGCAUUCCGCCUGGGGAGUACGGCCGCAAGGCUGAAACUCAAAGGAAUUGACGGGGGCCCGCACAAGCGGUGGAGCAUGUGGUUUAAUUCGAAGCUACGCGAAGAACCUUACCAGGUCUUGACAUACUAUGCAAAUCUAAGAGAUUAGACGUUCCCUUCGGGGACAUGGAUACAGGUGGUGCAUGGUUGUCGUCAGCUCGUGUCGUGAGAUGUUGGGUUAAGUCCCGCAACGAGCGCAACCCUUAUUAUCAGUUGCCAGCAUUAAGUUGGGCACUCUGGUGAGACUGCCGGUGACAAACCGGAGGAAGGUGGGGAUGACGUCAAAUCAUCAUGCCCCUUAUGACCUGGGCUACACACGUGCUACAAUGGAUGGUACAACGAGUUGCGAACUCGCGAGAGUAAGCUAAUCUCUUAAAGCCAUUCUCAGUUCGGAUUGUAGGCUGCAACUCGCCUACAUGAAGUCGGAAUCGCUAGUAAUCGCGGAUCAGCAUGCCGCGGUGAAUACGUUCCCGGGCCUUGUACACACCGCCCGUCACACCAUGAGAGUUUGUAACACCCAAAGUCGGUGGGGUAACCUUUUAGGAACCAGCCGCCUAAGGUGGGACAGAUGAUUAGGGUGAAG
rnacentral:rRNA from 2 species